rnacentral:rRNA from 1 species
UACGUAGAGGGCAAGCGUUGUCCGGAUUUAUUGGGCGUAAAGAGCGUGUAGGUGGCCAGAUAGGUCCGUUGUGAAAACUCGAGGCUCAACCUCGAGACGCCGAUGGAAACCAUUUGGCUAGAGUCCGGAAGAGGAGAGUGGAAUUCCUGGUGUAGCGGUGAAAUGCGCAGAUAUCAGGAAGAACACCCGUGGCUAAGGCGGCUCUCUAGUACGGUACUGACGCUGAGACGCGAAAGCGUGGGGAGCGAACAGG